CCUCCCUCACUUGAGCACAAUCCAAGAUGAAAGUUUCUGGGUUGUGUCCCCUUCGCUUCCUCUCACCCUCGCUCCCCCGCGGAGCCAAGGAGCCAGCAAUUGUGCAAGAGGAGACCGGCGCACAGGGCGCGUAUCACGGAGCGCAUGAGCCAGCAAGCCGAACGCCUCCAGCGCGGCCGGGACGGAGGAGCGGCUCUGGGGAAGACGCCGAGGCUGCGCCCGAGUCUGAACGAAGCUGCCUCCAGCCACAUGAAGUCAGUAGGGCUGUUCUGAGGGGCCCCGAGAUUUGAUGACUGUUUUUUAGGUUGCGGAACCUACUCCGAGAGAGCAAACACUUUGGACGAAGUGAUUCAUAUUGAUAGAUACAUUUGUUGGGAGGUGGCUUUUUUCAUUCUCAACAGAAAACAAAGAAAUAAAUUAAGUCUUCCCCUGA
rnacentral:lncRNA from 1 species